rnacentral:tRNA from 1 species
GGUAGCUCAAUGGUAGAGUGCUUGCCUCGCAUGCAUGAGGCCCUGAGUUUGAUUCCUCAGAACCA